rnacentral:rRNA from 1 species
AACGCUAGCUACAGGCUUAACACAUGCAAGUCGAGGGGCAGCAUGGUCGAAGCUUGCUUCGACUGAUGGCGACCGGCGCACGGGUGCGUAACGCGUAUCGAACCUGCCCUAUACACGGGGAUAGCCUUGCGAAAGUAAGAUUAAUACCCGAUGCCAAGUUGGAAUCGCAUGAUUUUGAUUUGAAAGAAAUUCGGUAUAGGAUGGCGAUGCGUCUGAUUAGGUAGAUGGCGGGGUAACGGCCCACCAUGCCGACGAUCAGUAGGGGUUCUGAGAGGAAGGUCCCCCACAUUGGAACUGAGACACGGUCCAAACUCCUACGGGAGGCAGCAGUGAGGAAUAUUGGUCAAUGGGCGUGAGCCUGAACCAGCCAAGUAGCGUGCAGGAUGACGGCCCUAUGGGUUGUAAACUGCUUUUAUAAGGGAAUAAAGUGGGUCUCGUGAGACUUUUUGCAUGUACCUUAUGAAUAAGGACCGGCUAAUUCCGUGCCAGCAGCCGCGGUAAUACGGAAGGUCCGGGCGUUAUCCGGAUUUAUUGGGUUUAAAGGGAGCGUAGGCCGGAGAUUAAGCGUGUUGUGAAAUGUAGUGGCUCAACCUCUGCACUGCAGCGCGAACUGGUCUUCUUGAGUACGCACAACGUGGGCGGAAUUCGUGGUGUAGCGGUGAAAUGCUUAGAUAUCACGAAGAACUCCGAUUG